rnacentral:rRNA from 1 species
AUUGAACGCUGGCGGCAGGCCUAACACAUGCAAGUCGAACGAGUGGCGGACGGGUGAGUAAUGUCUGGGAAACUGCCUGAUGGAGGGGGAUAACUACUGGAAACGGUAGCUAAUACCGCAUACCAUCAGAUGUGCCCAGAUGGGCUUAGCUUGUUGGUGGGGUAACGGCUCACCAAGGCGACGAUCCCUAGCUGGUCUGAGAGGAGGACCAGCCACACUGUACCUGAACCACGGGCCAGACACCUACGGGAGGCAGCAGUGGAGAAUAUUGCACAAUGGGCGCAAGCCUGAUGCAGCCAUGCCGAGUGUAUGGAGAGGGCCUUCGGGUUGGAAAGUACUUUCAGCGGGGAGGCGUUACCAGCGGAAGAAGCACCGGCUAACUCCGUGCCAGCAGCCGCGGUAAUUC